rnacentral:rRNA from 1 species
GACGAACGCUGGCGGCGCGCUUAACACAUGCAAGUCGAGCGGUAAGGCCUUUCGGGGUACACGAGCGGCGAACGGGUGAGUAACACGUGGGUGAUCUGCCCUGCACUUCGGGAUAAGCCUGGGAAACUGGGUCUAAUACCGGAUAUGACUUCAGGUUGCAUGACUUGGGGUGGAAAGAUUUAUCGGUGCAGGAUGGGCCCGCGGCCUAUCAGCUUGUUGGUGGGGUAAUGGCCUACCAAGGCGACGACGGGUAGCCGACCUGAGAGGGUGACCGGCCACACUGGGACUGAGACACGGCCCAGACUCCUACGGGAGGCAGCAGUGGGGAAUAUUGCACAAUGGGCGAAAGCCUGAUGCAGCGACGCCGCGUGAGGGAUGACGGCCUUCGGGUUGUAAACCUCUUUCAGCAGGGACGAAGCGCAAGUGACGGUACCUGCAGAAGAAGCACCGGCUAACUACGUGCCAGCAGCCGCGGUAA